AGGACGAACGCUGGCGGCGUGCUUAACACAUGCAAGUCACGGGGGCUUCGCAAGGAGCAACCGGCGAACGGGUGCGUAACACGUGAGCGACCUGCCAUACCUGUGGGGGAUAGCCGGCCCAACGGCCGGGUAAUACCGCAUACGAUCGUUUGGGGGCAUCCCUAUUCGACGAAAGCUCGCAAGAGCGCAGGAUGAGGGGCUCGCGGCCUAUCAGCUAGUUGGCGGGGUAAUGGCCCACCAAGGCGAUGACGGGUAGC
rnacentral:rRNA from 1 species